CUUUACUUGAGACGUGAGCACCCAGGCUAGUUCUUCACAGUCACAGAUGUUGAGUUGGCAUUCUUUAAGGGAACUUCAGAAAGUAUCUUUAUAUGUCAUGUUGAUACUGUUAAGAAUUGUUGCCAUUAUGUAAAACACAUUUCUUUCUAAAGGAAUAAUUGUAUCACCAGCACAAUUUUGUUUUCAAUAACUUUUUACUAAUUUUUUUUUUUUUAAAAAA